rnacentral:rRNA from 1 species
CGGACGGGUGAGUAACACGUGAGUAACCUGCCUUACACAAGGGGAUAGCCGUUGGAAACGACGAAUAAUACCCUAUGAAACUAUCACCUCGCAUGAAGCGAUAGUCAAAGUGUUAGCGGUGUAAGAUGGACUUGCGUCUGAUUAGCUAGUUGGUGAGAAAAAAGCCCACCAAGGCAACGAUCAGUAGCCGGCUUGAGAGAGUGUACGGCCACAUUGGGACUGAGACACGGCCCAG